rnacentral:piRNA from 1 species
UGCCUUUCUUUCCCCUCUCAUGAUGUUUGC